AGAGUUUGAUCCUGGCUCAGGAUGAACGCCGGCGGUGUGCCUAAUACAUGCAAGUCGUACGCACUGGCCCAACUGAUUGAUGGUGCUUGCACCUGAUUGACGAUGGAUCACCAGUGAGUGGCGGACGGGUGAGUAACACGUAGGUAACCUGCCUCGGAGCGGGGGAUAACAUUUGGAAACAGAUGCUAAUACCGCAUAACAACAAAAGCCACAUGGCUUUUGUUUGAAAGAUGGCUUUGGCUAUCACUCUGGGAUGGACCUGCGGUGCAUUAGCUAGUUGGUAAGGUAACGGCUUACCAAGGCAAUGAUGCAUAGCCGAGUUGAGAGACUGAUCGGCCACAAUGGAACUGAGACACGGUCCAUACUCCUACGGGAGGCAGCAGUAGGGAAUCUUCCACAAUGGGCGCAAGCCUGAUGGAGCAACACCGCGUGAGUGAAGAAGGGUUUCGGCUCGUAAAGCUCUGUUGUUGGAGAAGAACGUGCGUGAGAGUAACUGUUCACGCAGUGACGGUAUCCAACCAGAAAGUCACGGCUAACUACGUGCCAGCAGCCGCGGUAAUACGUAGGUGGCAAGCGUUAUCCGGAUUUAUUGGGCGUAAAGCGAGCGCAGGUGGUUGCUUAGGUCUGAUGUGAAAGCCUUCGGCUUAACCGAAGAAGUGCAUCGGAAACCGGGCGACUUGAGUGCAGAAGAGGACAGUGGAACUCCAUGUGUAGCGGUGGAAUGCGUAGAUAUAUGGAAGAACACCAGUGGCGAAGGCGGCUGUCUGGUCUGCAACUGACGCUGAGGCUCGAAAGCAUGGGUAGCGAACAGGAUUAGAUACCCUGGUAGUCCAUGCCGUAAACGAUGAGUGCUAGGUGUUGGAGGGGUUUCCGCCCUUCAGUGCCGGAGCUAACGCAUUAAGCACUCCGCCUGGGGAGUACGACCGCAAGGUUGAAACUCAAAGGAAUUGACGGGGGCCCGCACAAGCGGUGGAGCAUGUGGUUUAAUUCGAAGCUACGCGAAGAACCUUACCAGGUCUUGACAUCUUGCGCUAACCUUAGAGAUAAGGCGUUCCCUUCGGGGACGCAAUGACAGGUGGUGCAUGGUCGUCGUCAGCUCGUGUCGUGAGAUGUUGGGUUAAGUCCCGCAACGAGCGCAACCAUUGUUACUAGUUGCCAGCAUUAAGUUGGGCACUCUAGUGAGACUGCCGGUGACAAACCGGAGGAAGGUGGGGACGACGUCAGAUCAUCAUGCCCCUUAUGACCUGGGCUACACACGUGCUACAAUGGACGGUACAACGAGUCGCAAGCUCGCGAGAGUAAGCUAAUCUCUUAAAGCCGUUCUCAGUUCGGACUGUAGGCUGCAACUCGCCUACACGAAGUCGGAAUCGCUAGUAAUCGCGGAUCAGCAUGCCGCGGUGAAUACGUUCCCGGGCCUUGCACACACCGCCCGUCA
rnacentral:rRNA from 1 species